rnacentral:rRNA from 2 species
GUGCCUAAUACAUGCAAGUCGUACGCACUGGCCCAACUGAUUGAUGGUGCUUGCACCUGAUUGACGAUGGAUCACCAGUGAGUGGCGGACGGGUGAGUAACACGUAGGUAACCUGCCCCGGAGCGGGGGAUAACAUUUGGAAACAGAUGCUAAUACCGCAUAACAACAAAAGCCACAUGGCUUUUGUUUGAAAGAUGGCUUUGGCUAUCACUCUGGGAUGGACCUGCGGUGCAUUAGCUAGUUGGUAAGGUAACGGCUUACCAAGGCGAUGAUGCAUAGCCGAGUUGAGAGACUGAUCGGCCACAAUGGAACUGAGACACGGUCCAUACUCCUACGGGAGGCAGCAGUAGGGAAUCUUCCACAAUGGGCGCAAGCCUGAUGGAGCAACACCGCGUGAGUGAAGAAGGGUUUCGGCUCGUAAAGCUCUGUUGUUGGAGAAGAACGUGCGUGAGAGUAACUGUUCACGCAGUGACGGUAUCCAACCAGAAAGUCACGGCUAACUACGUGCCAGCAGCCGCGGUAAUACGUAGGUGGCAAGCGUUAUCCGGAUUUAUUGGGCGUAAAGCGAGCGCAGGCGGUUGCUUAGGUCUGAUGUGAAAGCCUUCGGCUUAACCGAAGAAGUGCAUCGGAAACCGGGCGACUUGAGUGCAGAAGAGGACAGUGGAACUCCAUGUGUAGCGGUGGAAUGCGUAGAUAUAUGGAAGAACACCAGUGGCGAAGGCGGCUGUCUGGUCUGCAACUGACGCUGAGGCUCGAAAGCAUGGGUAGCGAACAGGAUUAGAUACCCUGGUAGUCCAUGCCGUAAACGAUGAGUGCUAGGUGUUGGAGGGUUUCCGCCCUUCAGUGCCGGAGCUAACGCAUUAAGCACUCCGCCUGGGGAGUACGACCGCAAGGUUGAAACUCAAAGGAAUUGACGGGGGCCCGCACAAGCGGUGGAGCAUGUGGUUUAAUUCGAAGCUACGCGAAGAACCUUACCAGGUCUUGACAUCUUGCGCUAACCUUAGAGAUAAGGCGUUCCCUUCGGGGACGCAAUGACAGGUGGUGCAUGGUCGUCGUCAGCUCGUGUCGUGAGAUGUUGGGUUAAGUCCCGCAACGAGCGCAACCCUUGUUACUAGUUGCCAGCAUUAAGUUGGGCACUCUAGUGAGACUGCCGGUGACAAACCGGAGGAAGGUGGGGACGACGUCAGAUCAUCAUGCCCCUUAUGACCUGGGCUACACACGUGCUACAAUGGACGGUACAACGAGUCGCAAGCUCGCGAGAGUAAGCUAAUCUCUUAAAGCCGUUCUCAGUUCGGACUGUAGGCUGCAACUCGCCUACACGAAGUCGGAAUCGCUAGUAAUCGCGGAUCAGCAUGCCGCGGUGAAUACGUUCCCGGGCCUUGUACACACCGCCCGUCACACCAUGGGAGUUUGUAACGCCCAAAGUCGGUGGCCUAACCUUUAUGGAGGGAGCCGCCUAAGGC